UGUAUGUAUGUAUGUGUGUGUGUGUGUGUGUGUAUAUAUAUAUAUAUAUAUACACAUACACACACAUACACACACAAAUG